rnacentral:rRNA from 1 species
CCUACGGGGGACAGCAGUGGGGGAUAUUGGACAAUGGGGGGAACCCUGAUCCAGCGACGCCGCGUGAGUGAAGAAGUAUUUCGGUAUGUAAAGCUCUGUCAGCAGGGAAGAAAGAAAUGACGGUACCUGACCAAGAAGCCCCGGCUAACUACGUGCCAGCAGCCGCGGUAAUACGUAGGGGGCAAGCGUUAUCCGGAAUUACUGGGUGUAAAGGGAGCGUAGACGGUUAAGUAAGUCUGGAGUGAAAGGCCGGGGCGCAACCCCGGGACUGCUCUGGAAACUAUUGAACUUGAGUGCAGGAGAGGUAAGCGGAAUUCCUAGUGUAGCGGUGAAAUGCGUAGAUAUUAGGAGGAACACCAGUGGCGAAGGCGGCUUACUGGACUGUAACUGACGUUGAGGCUCGAAAGCGUGGGGAGCAAACAGGAUUAGAUACCCUUGUAGUC